rnacentral:rRNA from 1 species
CCUACGGGAGGCUGCAGUGAGGAAUAUUGGUCAAUGGGCGAGAGCCUGAACCAGCCAAGUAGCGUGAAGGAUGACUGCCCUACGGGUUGUAAACUUCUUUUAUAAAGGAAUAAAGUGAGGUACGUGUGCCUUUUUGUAUGUACUAUAUGAAUCAGGCUCGGCUAACUACGUGCCAGCAGCCGCGGUAAUACGGAGGAUCCGAGCGUUAUCCGGAUUUAUUGGGUUGAAAGGGAGCGUAGAUGGGUUGGUAAGUCAGUUGUGAAAGUUUGCGGCUCAACCGUAAAAUUGCAAUUGAUACUGGCAGCCGUGAGUGCAGCAGAGGUAAGCGGAAUUCGUGGUGGAGCGGUGAAAUGCUUAGAUAUCACGAAGAACUCCGAUGGCGAAGGCAGCCUACUGGACUGUAACUGACGUUGAUGCUCGAAAGUGUGGGUAUCAAACAGGAUUAGAUACCCUUGUAGUC